rnacentral:rRNA from 1 species
AUAAGAUAUCAAGGGCAACAGGUGAAUGCCUUGGCGCUGAGAGGCGAUGAAAGACGCGGUAAGCUGCGAUAAGCAUCGGGGAGGAGCUAAACAUCCUACGAUCCGAUGAUUUCUGAAUGGGGAAACCCGAUGGGAGUCAUGUCCCAUCAUCCUGAGCUGAAUAUAUAGGCCCAGAGAAGCCAACCCGGGGAAGUGAAACAUCUCAGUACCCGGAGGAAGAGAAAUCAAACGAGACUCCCAAAGUAGCGGCGAGCGAAAUGGGAAGAGCCCAAACCGGGUGGUUUCGACCAUUCGGGGUUGUAGGGCCGGCAUACGCGAUUCUGGAGUAGGCAGAGGAAGUGAGCUGGAAAGCUCCGCCACAGCGGGUGAUAGCCCCGUACUCGAAACCGAAAAGGACGCAGCCGGUACCUGAGUACUGCGAGGCACGUGGAACCUCGUGGGAAUCUAGGGGGACCAUCCUCUAAGGCUAAGUACUCCUCAGCGACCGAUAGUGAACUAGUACCGUGAGGGAAAGGUGAAAAGAACCCCUGUUAGGGGAGUGAAAUAGAAUCUGAAACCUGUUGCCUACAAGCUGCGAGAGCUACUUCGGUAGUGAUCGCGUGCCUUUUGUAUAAUGAGUCAGCGAGUUACUCUACCGUGCGAGGUUAAGCGAAAGCGUAGCCGUAGUGAAAGCGAGGCUUAAUAGGCCGACUAGUACGUUGGAGUAGACCCGAAACCGGGUGAUCUAUCCAUGAGCAGGUUGAAGCAAGGGUAAAGCCUUGUGGAGGACCGAACCGUCAACGGCUGAAAACGUUCCGGAUGACUUGUGGAUAGGGGUGAAAGGUCAAUCAAACCCGGUGAUAGCUGGUUCUCCCCGAAAUAUAUUGAGGUAUAGCCUCGGGAAUUGAUUAGCGGAGGUAAAGCACUGACAGAGCUAGGGGUCCUACCAGAUUACCAAACUCUAUCAAACUCAGAAUGCCGCUUAAUUGUAUCCCGGGAGUCAGACGGCGGGUGCGAAGGUUCGUCGUCAAAAGGGAAACAGCCCAGACCAACAGCUAAGGUCUCCAAAUCCAUGCUCAGUGGUGAAGGUAGUGGAACCGUUUAGACAGCCAGGACGUUGGCUUAGAAGCAGCCAUCGUUUAAAGAAAGCGUAAUAGCUCACUGGUCUAAUGGCUCUGCGCCGAAAAUGUAACGGGGCUAAGCAUGGUACCGAAGCUUUGGCAAUCUCCUUUGGAGAUUGGGUAGGGGAGCGUUCGCUGCGGGCUGAAGGUGUGUCGGAAGGCAUGCUGGACUGCAGUGAAGUGAUUAUGCUGACAUGAGUAACGAUAAAAUAUGUGAAAAACAUAUUCGCCGAAAACCCGAGGUUUCCUGGGUAAAGGUAAUCUUCCCAGGGUUAGUCGGAUCCUAAGGUGAGGGUGAAAGCCGUAACCGAUGGAAAACAGGUUAAUAUUCCUGUACUUGUUGUGUAGCGCGAUGGAGGGACGCAGGAAGAUAGGCGGGCCGGGUGUUGGAUAUCCCGGUGCAAGCGUGUAGGAAUAUCCGGUAGGCAAAUCCGCCGGACGAAUCUGAGACGCGAGUCCGUGGGCGCAAGCCCUGAAGCCGUUGAGUCUAUGCUGCCUAGAAAAGCUCCUAAGUUUAUCCACAGCAAUCCGUACCGCAAACCAACUCAGGUGGGUGGGAUGAACAAUCCAAGGCGCUCGAGAGAACUCUGGCCAAGGAACUCGGCAAAAUAACCCCGUAACUUCGGAAGAAGGGGUGCUCUCUAGGGUGACAUGUUUAACAUAUGAAGCCCCGGGGAGCCGCAGUGAAUUGGUGGUGGCGACUGUUUACUAAAAACAUAGGUCUGUGCGAAGUCCUAAAGACGACGUAUACGGACUGACGCCUGCCCGGUGCUGGAAGGUUAAAAGGAGGGGUCAGCGCAAGCAAAGCUCCGAAUUGAAGCCCCAGUAAACGGCGGCCGUAACUAUAACGGUCCUAAGGUAGCGAAAUUCCUUGUCGGGU